AAAAGUCCCUUAUGCUCUAUAAUUUAAACCGGCUUCUGGCGCAAUUUGUGUUACUCAUGAGUGUAACCCAGAGCUCUGAUGCUGAAUCUGUAGUUGAAAAGAUAAACUUGCAGAAAUAAACCCAAAACACACAGAAGGCAGACACCGAGUAAAUCAAAGGUUAAUAACAUCUCUAAAUCCUCUGUAACAAGCGCGACAGACUCUUUGUGGGCAACCUCACCCUAAGAACCUUAAAAGGCAGAGAUCGAAGGAAGUUUUUGAUAAAAAUCAAAACCCAAACGUGUUUCCUUUUGCCUAUGUUAAAGCAUUUGGGUGUUUCAAAGCUGAAUCACAGCAGGUACUCGCAGCUCCGGCAGCGCCGCGCCGGCCUCUCGGGUCCGGAGGCGAGGCUGAAGCGGGCCGGCUCCGGGGCCGGCGGCAGAGCCGCCGCUUGCUGGGAUGGCCGGGGGGAGUUUUCUGCAGCCCCUGCGUGACGGAGGACGGGCCUCGACCAGCAGCUGCAGAAGGAUGGACCACGCGGAGUGGCUUCCAAACUUCUGGUAGGUUGAUUAAAAUGCAUUGAGGAGAGAAACACAAAAACCUUUUCCACUUCAGUCUCUCGUAUCUUGGAGCCGAAAGCCAAGAACUCCUUUUAUUUGCUUCUCAUUGAUGCCACUAAUUUUCUGAUUUUUUUCUUUUUAAAGCUUGAAAACCCAAGGUACUUCUUUAAAACUCUUUACCUGACAAGACAGAGCUUUCCUACACUGAAGUCCUACAGGAAACCUCUGCUGUCAGCCAAAUGGUGGGAUGAGAUGAGGCUCAGCUCUGCCUCACUGCAGAAUUUCAGCAUGCUUAACGCACACUAAUCCAACAGGGAACAGGAACCAGAUUUUAAUAAAAUAGCAAUUUCCACGAGCAGUGAAAUUUGUGAAACAGGGCGGUUCUAAAACCGCCCUAUUCUAGUAUAUAAUCAAAGCUUCUACCUACCAGCUAUUUGAGAGUUUACAGAGCUGGAGGUUGUGCCUCAAUGACCACGGGUGUGCCAGCUCCUCGCCUGUCUGUCCUGCUCCUUUCUCAGUCCAUCUGUGUGUCUGCUCUCUACAACACCUCGUGGCAAUUAAGACUCACAGGUAAAUAAUAUGCUGUACAAAAAAGUGUUUUUUUUUUUUCCUUCCAUUUUAAACUUGUUGCUAAUUGUACCAGAUGCUCCCUAUUUUUCGUGCUAGAAGGAAAAGGUGAGCAACUGGUGCCCAUUUACCUCCUCUGCUCCGUUCUGGAUUCGUAUGUCAAGGUAACUCCAAAGUCCAUUCAUUGUUUUCACACAAGUCACUCCAGCCACCUAUCAUCCCUGACGCUUUCUGUGGGCUUCUAGUUUUUUUAAUCUUUCCUAAAAUGAGCUAAAUUGAACAGAAUAUUAAACAAUCGGCCCAAUCAAGGAUUUACACAGUUCCCGUGUUUUCUGCUUGCCAGUGAUCAUUGAGUUUUCAAAGAGAUUGGGAAUUAUUCCACAUCUUGCUUGCAGGAAGAACAAAUUUAACCCUCUUUUGCCCCCCCCCCCCCCAUUUUUUCCCCCCCUCCUUUCAUGAUGGGGGGAGCAGGGAGAGCAACCCAGCAUCCACUAACACUCUGUGACAGCAGAUGUCAUCUACCAUUUCCUGUGAAAGCACUUAAGUGUUGUAAAGUUCUUCUGCAACUGUCAUCCAGCUUUACAUCUAAGCAGGCCACAUAUUUUUACCUUAUAGCAUAUUUUUAAGCUUGCUUUUUGCCCCAUUUUUGGAUCACUUACAAACACAGAAAUCGCCCCCACGUAUCUUUCUCAUCUUUUUUCUCCAUUGUGGAAAGUUAGUUUUCGUUUUACUUUUUAUUUCUCAUCCUUCCCCUCGCCACCAAUUCACACACCUCCUACACACACAGUAACCACAUCUUUGCUUGAGAGCUGUUCGUGAAGUAUCUUGGCAAAGACUUGGGAAACCCACCGCCCGUGUGAACCAGCCCAGCCCUGCCUGUAGCCUGGCUGACUCUUUCGGGAAACUACCAGUGCUGGGAGAACCUUCUUUUCCCAAAGUCUGUUUUUUCCCCUUUCUAAUCCAUGUGCCUACUAAGACUCUUAUUACAGUUUCUAUCAAUUUGCUGACUAAAUGCUUCGUAGCUUCUGGCAUACGUUACUGCCAGGAGUCUGCAUUUCACGUGCAGGUUCCUGCAGACCCCCGCAGCCCUGGUAACCCCAGUGACUCCCCACUUCAGUGGUACCACCGUCUGAGACCACCUCUUGGAUUUACCCAUGUGAAGAGGCAUCCUUCAGUUCUCUGAAACACAGGUCAUCUUCACCUCUUUCCAAGCCAGCACGGAUCCACAAAGUUUCAUCACCGCUACUAUCUUGAGUACUGAUAUUAAGGGGUCGUUUCCCCGCACACUCUUGCAUCUCCUAGUGAACAAAGAACCUCUAUGCAGGGCAUCAUGUAACCCAACCCUCUCCUUCAGACUCCCUAUUCCCUAAAAAAGUUAACUCAGCACUUGGAAAGACUGAAAAGGAAGAUACUGAAUGAACUCAUUGAAUGCACUCAUUUGGCAGGCUGGCCAGCAAUGUGUUUCUUCAGUAGUUCUUUGUUUAACUUCUUCUGAGUUGCAGGUUUUGAACUAGAGAUUUUCAGGAAGUUGUAGGAAACGUCCAAACUUGGCUCUUGCUCGAGCAGAUUACUUCCUUCUGGAAAUUCCACCUGUGCGAUAGACGCCGGGAACUCGUGCCCAACCUUUUCCAGAUGUGGGGAACACUGCUCUGCUUCAAGUCUGGUCUAGUCCUCCGUGGUCACAAGGCAAGACUUAGCUUCUGUUACAGUAAGCCUGCACUUGUCAAGAGUUUGUACAGUCUCUGCCUCCGCUUACAACCACCCGUGCACCUCAACCUCAGCCGCACUGUAUUCAUCAGGCUGUCCUAGCUGAGAGGUGAAGGGUCUUCAAACCUGUCAUCUACCUCAAGCCAGUACAUCCGCCUCAACAACGUAAGCACACACAUUUGCAAUGGUACUUUUGCUUUCCAGGAGGUUUCUCAGAAUACAAAACGCACCAGCCGCACCAGGGAGAGAAGCAGCCAUGGUGAGAGGCACAAGUGCCGCAUCCCCCCAGCAAGUGCAGCAUAAGCGGCAGGAUUUCCAGUUUAGUUGCAGGAUUUUAGGGGGAAGUAGGGAUUCAGGGAGGAUGUAAGAAUAAAGGGAAGACUACCAGACCCUUCCAGUUUCUUGUCGUAAGCAAGGACCCUGCUGCGGCAGCCCUGCCCCCUCAUCACCGACAUGCGGAGAGGUCUGAUGCAAGCUAUUGCAAUGUGCAGGACGAAGAUGGCAGCAGAAGACCAGACCACCUCCUCUGGCACUGGAAGCAUUGCAGGAGAAGGCUAAAAGGUUCACCAGACUACGGGCUAACAGUGUCUCCAGAUCACAUUUUUUGGCAGCAAGUAGCACUAACAGAAGUGGCUCUUGGGCAAUGCAAGCGGCCAAUAACAUGUGAUUUAAGAGAAAAAUGGCAAAAAAAGCAGAAUAAGGAGGAUUGUGUGUGAUAAGCCUAGUAUGCGCUCUCACCCAGCAGCAUCUGGAGAGGAUUUUCUCCAGCAGGCAGGGAAGAACUCGAUUACAUCCAGUUAACUGUGCUCUAAACUGAUUAUGCAUGUGCCAGGCUAAUGGAUUACAUUAGCAAGAGGAAAAAUAACAUCCAAUCAAUCUCAAUUUACUGCAGACCACACCAAGGCCUGAGAGAAGAGAAACCAUUCUGUGAACUACCCCCACUCCCGCUGCAUCUUUUCAGCUAUCAAAAGAGACAUGGCAUUACAACCACUCUGAAGACUGGAAGAAUUGCACUGAAGCUUGCUUGAUCCAUAGACAGGUUUUUUCCAUGAAGUCAAACACUGGUUCCAGCUAUGCUGGAACGAGAUGCUGUGGAUCCAGCCAUCUGCUGUCCCCUGCUACAGGCUUCAUAAAGGCAUUCUAGAAAGCUAAAAUAUGGACCAUACGACAGACUUCAUUACUCCAAAAUGUGUUACGCUCUGCCUGGUGUUUCACUGCUUUCACAUCAGAAGCGAUGCUGGGCUGUAACAGCUCCGAGAACCGCCCUGGCCUCUUACGAACCUGAAAACCGACAAUUCCUCUUUGCCUGUCUGAGGAAAGCAUUUCAGGAAUCUUUGUUACAAGCACCUACGGCUGUCCCCCAGUCUGACUUUGGUAGGGGUUUUUUUCUUUCUUCUUUUUUUUUUUUCCUCUCUCCUCAGAGUGAGAUACUUCUAGUGGCCUGAUUGCUUCUUCCACAGCAGAAACCACUGUAGACGAAGGGUCUAGGUGAAGAAUUUUUUAGAUUUUGCAAUGUAUAUUUAAGAGAACGCUAUUAUACGUUAAACCUCAUAAUAGAGCUUUCAAAGAACUCUUUUGUACCCCAAACUGAAUUCCACAGACAGAGGAGAUUCAGUUCCUCAGCUGGCUUUCUGAAGCCUCCCUGGGACUUCCCGUGCCCCCAGCUUCCAAGCUGAUUUUACUCUCUCAGGUCUCCUGCACAUCCAAGAGCAGAGGUGUGUGUGGAGACCUGACCAUUUUUAGAGCCAGACUCUGCUGCGUUCUGCUGGAUCCCAGCUGACGACGGUAGCAGCAAUCAUUCACAGCAGUCUUGGCCUCAAUAGCGAGCUCAGCAGAAACAUAUUCCUCCUCUAAGCAGGUGCCCAUCAACACCAUGCAGGUCCAACAACCAUAGUUCGAGGUAAACCUAUGAUGCUCCUGCUUGUCUCUUUCCUCUCUGAAUUUGCUGGAACUGCUCAUUCCUGGGGAAAACCCAGGAGUUUUGAAAUCUAAGGUGUCUGCACAGUGACAUGGGUGGGCUGCUGUACAGUUCAAUGCCAAUUUUUAAAUUCCCAUUACAUAAAGAAAAAUAUUCAAAGAAAUCAUUAAGUAGCACAAAAUACAGUCUGUGAGUAUACAUACUUCUACAUUAAAAAAAACCAAAA